GACCAAAUGCUCGAAAGAGGCCUUACACUGAGACCUGCCACAAGUAAUUAAUAGUGAAUUAUUCAUUUGAGCCACAAGCUCGAACUAAAUAGAGGAAGAAUUGGAUCACUACAAUGUGCUAUGUUAUUAUAUCAAAAUUAAGAGUGAAUGUGAAGAAAGGAAAAAGAGCGAAGAAAUUGAUAGUACGUAUAAUUCUUGACAAGAAUAGACAGAGUAAUUAACUGAAAUAAAAACAUAUAGCAUAAUCAAGGAAAUCACGCAGUUGUCUCGCAGUCAAUGACGCGGCCUUUGAAGAGAACUACGUUGUCAUCCCGUGAUGUAAUUGCAUAAAAGAAUGGUCCAUUUACUCGAAACUCUUCUAGGGAAGGAGACAAGAAGAGCGCAAUCUCCAUUUCUGUCGAAAAAAAUUGUAUACUAUUAUCAAUUAGAAGAAAAACACUUCAACCAAAUUCGUUUCCACUAGAUUCGUCCAUCUUCCUCCCUCUUUUUCUAUUUUCGAUUUAUGUGAUUUUGUUAAUAAUUAUAAUAGUUAUGAUUCAUGAUUAAUAUAAUUAUCAUCUAAUUAAGGGGACAAUGUAAAUAUAAUUAGAUGAAUAUUUAUUGCAGACUCAGCUGUACUAAGGUAUACAUAUUACAUCCUUGAAAUCCAACAUUAUUAAACACUUGCACUUUGAAAAACACUUCUAAUAUAUGGUCAGAAUAAAUUAUUUAUUGACAAUAUAAAUAGUUCGCUUAAUAUGUAGUCAAUAUAUACUUAGCUUCUUUACUUGUAGUAUCUCCAUAUUACUUUUCACUAAAUGAUUAAGAUAUUGUAUAAAAUAAACUAAUAUGAAACAUAAACAUGUGAAAACACAUAAUAACAGACUAUUAAAUAGUAAUGCAAAGAACUGUACAUUUAGAAAUAACAGGAAGCAUACAUUUUGAACUAUUGUGUACACAUAUAAACACGUUAUAGUUAUAUAAUUUUUGAUAUAAUAGAUUUAAAUUUAUGUAGAGAAAAUAAAUACACAUACGCAUAUUUACAUAGCUUGCAAAAAAUUAGGAAGGGCAUACAUGCAAAUUUUUAAUAAUUAGACUGAAAUAUUAAAAUAUGAAAUAAUAAUACUAAUAAACAUUCUCUCCAAACUACUCAAAAGCUCAAAAGAAUCAUAAAUUAAGCAAAAAUUGAAACCAAGCAAAAUACUGUUAUUUUAUGUGAUAAAUUUAUGUGUUUUGUAUACUUAUCUUGUAGUAUAUCAUAUAUAAUAACAUGAUAUUAUUAUAAUAUUAACUGUAUUACUUUAAUUUUUUCAGUUCUUCUAUUUUUAUUCAUAUGUCACUUUUAUAUUUCCAAAUUAUUCAACACCUCUCAAUAAUGAAUAUUAUUAUUGACAUAAAUAUAUUUAGCAUCUUUUGAAAAGAUACUGAAAAUGUUUAGUUUGUUAGUACAAAGUGCAGCUCUCUGUGGGGUGGAAAUCUGGAGGCGACAGGGAGAUGGAAGGAUAGAUUGAAUCCAAAGAAAAUAUAUGAAAUGAAUCUUAGGUUCUAGCCAAAAAGCCAGAGCAGUAUGAAAUAAAUAAAAAAAUAAUUUUUGUAUAAUAUUACAUUAUUUUUUUAAUAUUUUCAUACCUACUAUUUGCGCAAAGUGAUAUCUUACAUAAUUUAAAUAUAAACUACAUAACAUAGAAUGUUUAUUUACUUACCAGUUGCAGCAGCAGCUUCGCUUCCUUCUUCAUUUACUUCAAUGUAUGCCUUUUGUAUAACAUCACUGACGUACAAAGCUUCAUCA